rnacentral:rRNA from 1 species
AACGCGAAGAACCUUACCUACUCUUGACAUCCAGAGAACUUAGCAGAGAUGCUUUGGUGCCUUCGGGAACUCUGAGACAGGUGCUGCAUGGCUGUCGUCAGCUCGUGUUGUGAAAUGUUGGGUUAAGUCCCGCAACGAGCGCAACCCUUAUCCUUUGUUGCCAGCGGUUAGGCCGGGAACUCAAAGGAGACUGCCAGUGAUAAACUGGAGGAAGGUGGGGAUGACGUCAAGUCAUCAUGGCCCUUACGAGUAGGGCUACACACGUGCUACAAUGGCGCAUACAAAGAGAAGCGACCUCGCGAGAGCAAGCGGACCUCAUAAAGUGCGUCUUAGUCCGGAUUGGAGUCUGCAACUCGACUCCAUGAAGUCGGAAUCGCUAGUAAUCGUGGAUCAGAAUGCCACGGUGAGUACGUUCCCGGGUCUUGUACACACCGA